CCUACGGGGGGCUGCAGUGGGGAAUAUUGCACAAUGGGCGCAAGCCUGAUGCAGCCAUGCCGCGUGUGUGAAGAAGGCCUUCGGGUUGUAAAGCACUUUCAGCGGGGAGGAAGGCGGUGAGGUUAAUAACCUCAUCGAUUGACGUUACCCGCAGAAGAAGCACCGGCUAACUCCGUGCCAGCAGCCGCGGUAAUACGGAGGGUGCAAGCGUUAAUCGGAAUUACUGGGCGUAAAGCGCACGCAGGCGGUCUGUCAAGUCGGAUGUGAAAUCCCCGGGCUCAACCUGGGAACUGCAUUCGAAACUGGCAGGCUAGAGUCUUGUAGAGGGGGGUAGAAUUCCAGGUGUAGCGGUGAAAUGCGUAGAGAUCUGGAGGAAUACCGGUGGCGGAGGCGGCCCCCUGGACAAAGACUGACGCUCAGGUGCGAAAGCGUGGGGAGCAAACAGGAUUAAUACCCGGGUAGUC
rnacentral:rRNA from 1 species